rnacentral:misc_RNA from 1 species
GGGAAAUGAUGCUGGUUGUGGAUUUUUCCUGCGUGUAUGGAUUUGCAAGACAAGAGAGAAUACCGGGUGGAUUAGCUUGAGCAAUGCUUAAGUCAGUAUGGGUAUUGAGUAGAAUAUAAAAUUGACUAAAUAGAAUCUUACCUGAAUGUGAAAGCUUGAGCUUCUUCUAUAGGUAUCGGAAAGACUGCUAUUUGGAAUAGGAUUUAGCAUUUGAGAUAGGAUUCCUAUUUUGGAGGACGUCUAAUUAGAG